rnacentral:rRNA from 1 species
CCAGACUGGAACUGAGACACGGUCCAGACUCCUACGGGAGGCAGCAGUGAGGAAUAUUUCACAAUGAGCGAAAGCUUGAUGGAGCAAUGCCGCGUGCAGGAUGAAGGCCCUCGGGUUGUAAACUGCUUUUAUAAGAGAAGAUUAUGACGGUAACUUAUGAAUAAGGGACGGCUAACUACGUGCCAGCAGCCGCGGUCAUACGUAGGUCCCGAGCGUUAUCCGGAGUGACUGGGCGUAAAGAGUUGCGUAGGCGGUCAAGUUAGCGAGCGAUGAAAACUAUCGGCUCAACCGAUAGCUUGUUGUUCGAACUGCUUGACUCGAGAGUAUCAGAGGUCGCUGGAAUUCCUAGUGUAGCAGUGAAAUGCGUAGAUAUUAGGAAGAACACCGAUGGCGUAGGCAGGCGACUGGGAUAUUUCUGACGCUAAGGCACGAAAGCGUGGGUAGCGAACCGGAUUAGAUACCCGGGUAGUCCACGCCGUAAACGAUGGAUACUGGCUGUUGGAGGUAUCGACCCCUUCAGUAGCGAAGCUAACGCGUUAAGUAUCCCGCCUGUGGAGUACGGCCGCAAGGCUAAAACAUAAAGGAAUUGACGGGGACCCGCACAAGCGGUGGAUCGUGUUCUUUAAUUCGAUGCUAAACGAAGAACCUUACCAGGGCUUGACAUCCAGGGAAUUUUUGGGAAACCAAUUAGUGCCUUUUGGAACCCUGUGACAGGUGAUGCAUGGCCGUCGUCAGCUCGUGUCGUGAGAUGUUUGGUUAAGUCCAUCAACGAGCGCAACCCUUGUCGUCAGUUGUAUUUUUCUGGCGAGACUGCCCCGGUAACGGGGAGGAAGGAGGGGAUGAUGUCAGGUCAGUAUUGGUCUUACGCCCUGGGCUAGAAACGUCCUACAAUGGUCGGUACAAUGGGCAGCCAACCCGUGAGGGGGAGCAAAUCCCAUCAAAGCCGGUCUCAGUUCGGAUUGCAGGCUGAAACUCGCCUGCAUGAAGUCGGAAUCGCUAGUAAUCGCAAAUCAGCAAGUUGCGGUGAAUACGUUCCCGGGUCUUGUACACACCGCCCGUCAAACCAUGAAAGUGACCAACACCCGAAGUCCGAUUCGUCGGCCUAAGGUGGGGGGCAUGAUUGGGGUUAAGUCGUAACAAGGUAUCCGUACCGGAAGGUGCGGAUG